GGCUUGCUACUAUUAAUUGGUAAAUCUGCUCCUAGCUAAGAGUUCCGGGUUCGAAUCCCGGGCAACCCG
rnacentral:tRNA from 1 species